rnacentral:tRNA from 1 species
GAGGGUUUAGUUAAAAUAUAACACUGCCUUGUCAGGGCAAAGUCAUUGGCUGACACCCAAUACCCCUCU